AUGGUGAAAGCUGACGCAAUUUGUUUAGCCCCAGAACAGGUACAGGGGUGCUCCGUUCCUCACUGCUGAGCUCCAGGACCACCUGUGGGGAUGAAAGGGCUCCUCAGGACCCAGGUCCAGCCAGGGCUUGGCUUCC
rnacentral:sRNA from 1 species